UACGUAGGGGGCAAGCGUUAUCCGGAUUUACUGGGUGUAAAGGGAGCGUAGACGGAACAGCAAGUCUGAAGUGAAAUCCCCGGGCUCAACCCGGGAACUGCUUUGGAAACUGUUGAUCUGGAGUGUCGGAGAGGUAAGCGGAAUUCCUGGUGUAGUAGUGAAAUGCGUAGAUAUCAGGAAGAACACCGGAGGCGAAGGCGGCUUACUGGACGAUAACUGACGUUGAGGCUCGAAAGCGUGGGGAGCAAAC
rnacentral:rRNA from 1 species